rnacentral:rRNA from 1 species
GUAGGUGGCAAGCGUUGUCCGGAAUUAUUGGGCGUAAAGCGCGCGCAGGCGGUUUUUAAGUCUGAUGUGAAAGCCCACGGCUCAACCGUGGAGGGUCAUUGGAAACUGGAGAACUUGGGUACAGAAGAGGAAAGCGGAAUUCCACGUGUAGCGGUGAAAUGCGUAGAGAUGUGGAGGAACACCAGUGGCGAAGGCGGCUUUCUGGUCUGUAACUGACGCUGAGGCGCGAAAGCGUGGGGAGCAAACAGGGAUUAGAUACCCUGGUAGUCCACGCCGUAAACGAUGAGUGCUAAGUGUUAGGGGGUUUCCGCCCCCUUAGUGCUGCGGCUAACGCAUUAAGCACUCCGCCUGGGGAGUACGGCCGCAAGGCUG